rnacentral:rRNA from 1 species
AACGCUGGCGGCAUGCCUAACACAUGCAAGUCGAACGCCCCGCAAGGGGAGUCGGCGCACGGGUUAUAACUCGUGGCAACCUGCCCUCGGAUGGGGGAUAACCGAUGGAAACGUGCGGCUAAUACCGCGUACGACCUGAGGGUGAAAGAUUCAUCGCUCUAGGAGGGGCCCGCGUCAGAUUAGCUAGUUGGUGGGGUAAUGGCCUACCAAGGCAUCAUCUGUAGCUGGUCUGAGAGGAUGAUCAGCCACACUGGGACUGAGACACAGGACCAACUCCUACAGGAGGCAUCACUGGGGAAUAUUGGACAAUGGGGGCAACCCUGAUCCAGCAAUGCCGCGUGAGUGAUGAAGGCCUUAGGGUUGUAAAGCUCUUUCACCCACACGAUAUACGGUAGUGGGAGAAGAAGCCCAGGCUAACUUCGUGCCAGCAGCCGCGGUAAUACAAGGGGGCUAGCGUUGUUCGGAAUUACUGGGCGUAAAGGGCGCGCAGGCGGUUCAUCAGUCAU